AAUUCUUUAGUAUAAAGUAUAUUUGACUUCCAAUCAAAAGGACCAAAAUUGGAAGAAUUA
rnacentral:tRNA from 1 species